UUUCCGUAGGUGAACCUGCGGAAGGAUCAUUACCGAGUUAGGGUCUCCCUCGCGGGGCCCGACCUCCCAACCCCGUGUCUAAUAAACCUGUACGUGUUGCUUCGGCGGACCGGCGUCGUGCGUCUCGUAUGCACGAUCUGCCGCCGGGGGAGUCACCGGCUGCUCACGCGGCCGGCCCCUGGAGAGCGUCCGUCGAUGGCCCAACCAAACAAACUCCCAAAACCAAAAUUAUGGAUGAAACCUUCUGAAUCAGACCUUUUGAUAUACCAAUCAAAAACAAAACUUUCAACAACGGAUCUCUUGGUUCUGGCAUCGAUGAAGAACGCAGC
rnacentral:misc_RNA from 1 species